rfam:Phytophthora megakarya strain zdho120 scaffold_22848, whole genome shotgun sequence.
AUCGAUGUAGCUCAACGGAAGAGCUCCCGAAUAAGAAGGUGGUGGUUCGAUUCCACCCAUCGAUA